CCAGAGCCACAGCAACGCAGAAUCUGAGCCACGUCUGUGACCUACAUCACAGCUCACGGCAAGGCCAGAUCCUUAAGCCACUGAGCAAAGGCAGGGAUCGAACCACAACCUAAUGGUUCCUAGUGGGGUUCGUUAACCACUGCGCCACGAUGGGAACUCCUUGGCAAAUAAUUCCUUCUCUUUAGGCCUGAGAUUCUUCAUUUCUUUUUCUUUUUUUCUUUUUAGGGCUGCACGUGUGCCCAAUGGAAGUUCUCAGGCCAGGGGUUGAUUCGGAGCUGCAGCUGCUGGCCUAGACUACAGCCACAGCAACACCAGAUCUGAGCGUUGUCUGAAACCUACACUGCAGCUUUCAGCAACACUGGAUCCUUAGCCCAGCAAUGGAGGCCAGGGAUCAAAUGCGCAUCCUCAUGGACGCUCUGUCGGACUCUGUGAAGUUAUUUUAUUUUAUUAUUAUUAUUUUUUUUGAAGUUCUUUAUUUUAAACACGCUCCCAGGUGAUGCUGAUGCUGCUGGACAACAAAACCACCCUGAGUAGCAAGGACCUGGGAAGGACUUUGGCUUCCUGUGUGAUCGAAGGGGCUCGAAGGGGCUUCCAUGGAUGGGAACAUAAUGGACGUGACACACGGAAUAUCAUUGCAUAGAGUGCAUGGAAUGCUCUGAAUGGACCCAGACACGUUUACCACAGCAUCUUUGCUUUCAAUAGCUUGUUUGUAAUACUUAAAACUGUAAUAACAGGUUGUAAGUGGUAUUAUAUUUUCAUUUUGCCCAUAAUUUUUCAGCCUUUAAAAAAAAAUAGGCGCUUACAGAAACUGUCACAAAAGGGAAAUAUAUUGCUUUACACAAAUCAAGACUCCACCAGCCACUAACAUCAUAUUAGGUAGACAAUAGAAUAUCCUUGUUUUUUAUAUCCUCUUGUUAUACGACUCCUGAUCUAUUUAAAUCAAUACCUCUAACGUUUCUCAUCUCUUUGGGUACCUUUUCCUUGUCGAAAUAUUAAAGAACAUGCAUUUGACAUAAGACAGUGUGAUUUUAGGCCGUUUUAAUCAGUGCUAACGUUUAUUCUCUUGAAUGAGAAUUAAAUCUUUUUCGGGUUCAUCAUUUUAACCUUCCGAUUCCAUCCUUUGGUUGUGUUACCUCUGUAAGUUAUUUAAGGCGAAGAAUAAAUGUCUCCUUUAGAGUUAACA
rnacentral:lncRNA from 1 species